GGGCGCUUGUGAGGAUCACUGUUCAAAGGAGGUCAUUUAUGACCUCAUUAUUACUCAGGCACUCCCUGGGGCAGCUGUACAGCUACCACUGGGAAAAUCUCCUCUCCAAGGUUCCCUGUGAGGGAAGCCAAAAUGACCAGCCUUGAAAAUACAGGAAAGCCUUAACAAGCUGGCUAGCCUUGGAAGUUAGGAAGACCCCAAUAAACAUGAAGCUGCAGUAGGUACCAGAUAAAGGCCAGGAAGACCCCAAUAAACAUGCCAAACCCCAGAUGCAGUAGGUCUUCCUUGGUGGUGGGUGAAAUCCUGGACCUUAACAUUUGGGGGCUCGCCCAUACCCCCCACCUUGGAACCCCACGGACAGGAGGGCCUAAGGCACUGCCUUGGACCAGACCUUCAGGGAGGGAUUGGGUGGCUGACCGCUGGCUGCAGGCCCCUGACAGACAGCCGGAGGCAGUCGGAGAUAGCCGGAGAUAGCCAAAAGCAUCCGGCCACUGAGGAGUAAUUGCUGGCAUCAGGUUUCUUCACUGAUUAAAACCAAGCUGUUUUGAGCAUUUGUAAAACCUUUCCUUGCAACUUCUUGGUCUCAACAAUUGAAAAUCAGCCUGCUUGUCAAACACAUAAGAAAUGAGAUCUUAAGAUAAGCUCCUAGGAUCGGGGUAGUUUACGUGUCCGUGUCUCUGUUGUUUGUCUUCUGGCUUUUGCUGUUUGUCUCGUGUGUCUUUCUGUAUUUGGACGCAGGUAUGUGGAUGUGUGGGAGAGGGUGUCCUAUAGGGUUCUUUGAGUCUUUGUUGUGGCUGGAUUAACGGGAAAAAAAAGGGGGGGAGUUUGGGAUGCAGGGUCACAAAGGAGAAUAGAUUUUGCACCCCUGCUCCCUCUGCCUGUGUUCCAACCAGGCAGGCUAUGAUGAAAUAACACUGUGCCUGCUCCUGCAGCAGGCUUCAGGGCAGGAGAGAGUGCAAUUACCACCCGUUCAAUGAUUUUUCCCUCCUUCUCCCUUUGGAUGGGUCCCCAAAGGAGCGGAAGAGAGAAAAUUCUGAACAGAAAAGGGAGAUUCUUACUCCACAGUUAGAAACCUUCACUUAAAAUUAAUUCUCAACUUGGGUGGAUUGCUAAUGAUUUUGAUAUGGUACAAAUGUAAUGUAUUACAACAAAACUCCUGAUUAGAAGUUUGCUUUGUUAAACCUUGCAAUGCAUAAUGGUUUCAGUGAAUUUUAGAAUUGUCUAAAUGUGAUUGAUAACAAGCCUGAC
rnacentral:lncRNA from 1 species